CUGAGGCCCAUGGGCCCCCAGAAGAGGGUAUUCAUCUCUCUACCCCAGCUCCACUGCCUCCCUCCCUCCAUUUUCUGCCUUACUUUUUCAAUCUCAGUUACUCCCUGUCUCUCUGCCAUUCUCUCUCUCCCUCUCUGUCUCUCAUACUGAAUGGAGGGGUCAGUUCAAAAGGCUGCGCCAGGCAGAGCUGCUGGCUGGCCAUGAUGUGCCUGAGGCUUUGAAGUGAGGAGUGGAUCUAAAAGGUGUGUAGCCUGUUUUUUAUGCUGCAACACACUUGGGCCUAGAAACAUAAAUAGGUGCUGCUAUUGCUCUUCCUGAAUUAUGUUUAGUUAAUUUACCAUGAAUGCAUACUUAAACUUUAUAAUAAUAGGCCACACAUACAAGACAAGUGUAUGAGGAACAGCAAAUUUCAGCAAUAUAUGUUUCUGUUUUGUGAGCACAAAAGGUUGUCAAAGCUAAGCAUGCUUCUACUACAAAGAAAUGUCUGCAAAAGCACUUUGUUAGAACUUUAAGAAUAAAAUAACAGGAAUAGCAAAGGCAUAACCAUUUCCUCAAACCUUUCUGAACUGCCAUUAAACAACCAUAAUCAUUCACUUAUGCUAUAACUGAAUCUUACUAACUGUCUAAAUGUUCAUGUAGCUGAGAGGAAAUAUUUCUUACAGUCAGGACAUUCAGCGUUUUCUGAUGUCAGUUCUGGAGAGGUAAUUAGAGGAGCCACAGGAUUGUCUAAUUGAAUCAAUGACUUUGUAACAUCUCUCCCCCUCUACAUUAUCCCUUAAAAGCUCAUAAAAAAUUGUUUUCCAGCAUUCAGCGGUAACGAAGAAAUCAUUUUCUCUACAUAUGUGAAUAUUAAAUAGAUAGAGACCAUUUUACACUUCAUGACUAUAAUUCUUAAAAUCUCUGAGAGAUUUCUUUCAGCACAUUUUGUCACUUUAACCUCCUGCUCCUUUUGAUGUGUAACUUGUUAGUUUACUGCAUAGUGAAACUGAUUUUUCACAGGGAAUAUGGGAUUCCCAAGAGAAUCCCUGAUCUGAUCAAAUUAAGAAAAAAAAGACAUCACUUGAGAGGGAGGGGUGUAUCUGUAACAGUGACCGCCACAUUUUAUUUCCAUUGCUGACUAGCAUGGGGAUGUGUCAUCACAACUGCUUUCACAGUAAUUGAAUAAUGACAAUCACACAGCAUGUAGAGAAAGAGAGAAAAAUGAAAUGAGAUUGAAUAAGAUGAGAAAUGGAGAAUGAAUGUAUGUCAGAAAUAUGAGAGCAAGUAUUACACAAAAAGCAAGCAGGGGAAAAGGAAAGGGCUUAAGCUGUUCAUUUCCAUGCCUGUUGACUCUUUUGACUACCCCAGUCCUUGUCUAUUGCUGUCUCCUUUCUCUGUUCUUUGCCUUUUGCCUCCUGGCUCUGGACAGAAAUGGGCUUGAGCGCUCGUCUGAGCUUUGAAGUCCUUUGGUUAUCAGCCAAGCGUAGCACUGUACCUGCAGCCAUCUGUGAAGGGGCCGCCAGCAGCCACCCAUCGCUCCACUUCCCUUCCAUGACCGAGAGGGGCCAAAGCCAGGAGUGGUGAUGGGGCUGGCAGCACAUUAGCUGGCCGCACACGGUAGAGCCCAUAGCUGUGUCUGUGUCAAUGAAUACGAGAGUGUAUACCCUAACCUCAGUGCCCUAAUCUUACUGUGUAAUUCAGUCCUUCUCUGCUCAUUUCUAUCCGUAAACACCCUCUCUAUCCUCCCCCUCCCCCAUCUUGUCUCUUUCCCUUGGAUGAGGAGGAAAAAUGUGGCGGUUAUGAAAGGCUCGAUUAAAAACGGCAAACCAUUUUUCACACCGUGCUUAAUGUAAUAUAAAGAGACUGUGAAGAUCUUUUGUUUAAAUGAGUGAGUGUGGUAGUUGCCCUCACCAUCCAGCUGUAGUACCUUACAUCAUCUGUUGUCUUUACACCACAUUUGAGGCUUUGUUCAACUUUUUUACUUGCUUCGUACGUGCAUGUGCAAUGUGACGUGUCAAGUUGAAAGGCCCAAUGAGCCAGUGAUAAAUACAGCCGGUAGCGACAGCUCUCUUCCAGAGAGUGCGAUGUCAAAUGGGGGUACAUUAUCUCAAACAAUAGGAUUAAGACCUGCGACAAUGUGCACCAAAAACAAGCCGGUGGUUUGGUUUGGGGGGUUAGUGAUGGCACUAAGACAAGUUGGGGGGACUGAGUAAGGCGGGAAGCGAUGGGGGAGUCUGAGGGCUUUUGGGUGGGGGUCAUGAUUACGGAGAACAAAAAACCUACAGUAGUUAGACCUCUUCUCAGACCCGCUUCCAAUUCCACACACAGAUACACACACACACACACACAUACGUGGGGGCUUCCAAUCUGGCCAUCAGGCUGUUGCUGAAGUGUCACAUGGGCACCAUGUGUGCUGGCCAAUGGCCUCUCGGCUUAUCAACAAACAGAGUGGGAUGGAAGGACAGAUAAGAGAUAGACGUGGGGGUGGGGCAGGGAGUGGGUGGGGGUGGGAGGGGUUAUUGGCGGAUGAUGAUUGCAAAGUGAGCAUGUAAUAUAUGGUAUGCGUGCAACAUGCAGAUCAUGCUCAGCUCAUGCUGCACUGUGCAAUAUUAUUAACAUAUAUAUAUAUUUGACACCUUCAGCAUAUAAAGUGCCCUUUAUGCUCCAGGAAUCCCUGUGUAAUUACUGCUUAACAGGCCCAGGUUAACAAAAGACUUCAUUCACUCACUGCGCUGUGUUGAGAAGCAGUAAAAUGUGUUUGAACCGUAGAUCUCAUAGCAGAUCAAAGCAAUGGAUGUGUCAUAAGGUGCAGAGACUCUCAGCACUUUAUAACAGAUGCUACUCUCAUCCUUGCUGUAGAGCGCUUACUACAUUACUUUUAGCAAGAGAAGGUUAUUUUAAAUCUAAAAUGGACAUUCAUUUAUGUUUUACUCUCACGCUGAUCCUCAAAUACGAGGAGAUGAACAUUUUUUAGGUAACAUGGCAUCCCAAAUGCUACAAAUCAAUUUUGAGAAUAAAUUACACAUUCGGAAUUCAAAUAAUUAAAAUACUUUUGUUUUAGUGUUAAUUCCAGCAAUCAAGUGUACUGUGAUGUGUUUUAUAACAUCAGCAUAGGUUUCAAGUAGGUUUCAAGUUUUUAAAAGCAGAUAUCACAUUUUUGCAACUUAAAUCCAUAUAAAAACUUUUAUAUUACAGGCCAGUAAGUAAACUAAAAAACAACUGUAAGAUCCCUGUUACACUAGUUUCCUCCUUAACAGAGCCUGGAGUUGUUACACUGCUAGUUAGAGCCAGAGGCAGCUGUUCCACACAAGCUGACACCAUACACAGUGUGAAACAACAGUGCAGGGAAAAAAAGGGCCUUCACACAUGCAUGACAACCAAUACGGAAAUGCCUUGUGUAAGCAGUCGACAGAGUUGAGGCUCCAUCCCAGCCAGCCUCCCACUUCCACUUUGAUAAAAACGAACUAAUGUCAGCAACUGAUGUGGUCUCCCGCUUCAAGGACCUCGGAGCGCGGCUUUCGGAGUCGUUUCCGAGAGAGGUCUGAAACAUAUGGCAGAAGCACUAAAACAGGAGGCUUACUGACUUAGGAGAAAAUGAGAAUUGCAAAGUCCCCUUGCAUCUCAAUUGAAUUUCCUCCACAUGAGAAAAAAAAAGAACCAGAAGAAUGAUGUGCUGGGGUACUGGAGGCAGUUUUACUCCAGAGAAAUUUGCUGAAAAGAGUAUAUGAAAAGUUGAGCCUGUUGAAAUAGCCAGAGGUAUUCUGCUCAUAUUCAAGGCUGGGCCUCCUGUGUCAGACUGGCCUCUACUAACCUGUCAUUUCAGUUCAGGCUGAUGUUCCCCUCCCUCCACCCCAUCUGUUUCCCAAACCCUUCAGAUCACACCUGUGAACUAUUUCAGCACAUCAGAGAGCUCACAUAUUCCCUAGUCUUCAACUGAGAGCUACACACACACCUCAUCUCACAUAAAACUCACAUUCUAUCUCCCUCCAAAGCCUCAGCUUUUGCUACUAAAUGCUUCAACAAAUCAAUAGCACAAAGAAUCUCCGAACACUGGAUUGCACUUCCUUUUCGUGAUAGGGAGCUUUGAAUAAUGCAAAAGCGAUACUUGGAAAGACAGCUUAUCCAUUUUCAUAACUCUUUCUGAGCAACCCGCCUCCCAAACAAGUCAUAAGGUGAUGCAUCAGGUCAAUAAACAGAUCAAAAGGGCAGCUGAGUGAAAGUGAAAAACAAGAGAUAAACAUUCACAAUGGCACCUACAAGGAUUUGCAGAGAGAUGACUGUUCUUUCCUGCAAGCUAUUUAACUAUCACCCCAUCUCUUACCAACUGCUUAGCUAUCCUCCCUCCCCAGGCCUUUCUCUUUGUCCACUAUGGACACUGAAGAGCUAAACACACCGCCCUGCUUGUCACAACAGUCAGGAAGAGAGACCCUCCUCGGUUCCUGUGACUCUGCCACAGGGUGUGACCCUGCUGUGGUCCCCAAAGGCCUCCAGGGUUCUUCCUGCAAUUCUAAUCAAAGUUUAAAAAGCUGCAACCUUGGACUCUAAGCCUGGGUCGUGGCCUGUGAGGAAGACAUCAAUCAAGCGGCUCCAAGCAAGCGUGAGGGGAAGAGGGAGGGAGACAGAGAGAUUUGAGGGCAGUUUCUGGGAAAGUCUGGCUCUCUCUGUCCUUCUGUCCUCAGAGGGGCAGGUUGCAUUCCCCAUACCUGGAAACCACAAGGUACUUUAAAGUUGCAUUAACACAUAAUGGUCGUGUGGAUGGAUAAAACAUUAAUCUGCCUGUGAUGCUGCAGCGCCUGUCACCACCACCACCACCAUCAUCAUCAGCCUCUGAGUCAUACUCCAGUCCAUUUUUCCAGGCAGGAAUGAAUGAAUCCUCUCUGGAAUAGUACUGGUUGACCUGUGAGAGGCAAAUCUGCAAAUGAAGUUGCCUUCCGCCCAGCUCGGCAGCUGUCUAAUCCUCUCGCAGACCUGCCCUACAAAUGGGUGUAUUCGGUCGCAUACACAGAUAGAAUCAUGUGCACAUGCAGGCAUGAGCACACCACAACACCCAUAUCUAGCCACGGGAGAGGGCAGGCAGGCAGGGUUUGGCGCUGUCUGAAUAUUAGCUUUUCCACAGCUGGGGGCUGCUGGACCUGCUCCGUUCAUCAGACAUCCAUCAAGGUGUCAGUUUGGGUUAUGAGACCAGGUUCCCAGGGUGAUCAGACCGCUGCCCUGCCUGCCAGCAGGCCCGCCUGAUGGCCUUCUGUCUGGGCCAAGAAGGACCAAAGGCAAACACGUAAAAAAAAGGAAAAAAGCAUAACCAACAGGAACGUGGACACAGAUUCACACGAACACAAUGAUCACCAUCUCACCCUUGUUUAAAGAAAUGAUUCCUAAUAAAUGAUUAUGAAUGUGAAAUCAAGUUCAGCAAACAAAAACAAAAGUCUAUUGUUAAAGUGUUUUUUCCUCAACAAGCUCAACUUUAAACUGUAAGAGGAAGUACUUAAUCAUAUAGAUUGAAGUUAUUAGUUGCCCUGUAGUCAAGGGUGAGUAAUCACCAUUAUAGCCAGUCUUAGUCUACAUGAAGGACGCCCCACCCCCAACACCUAUUUUCCACCAGAGACUUUGGUCAUUUCCAUGACUGCUCUACAUAACAACCCUCUCCAACUCUGAGGAGGACAGGCAAGGUCACCUGCAACAACAGCCCCCCAUGCUGCUUGUUCUUGCUGCUGCUCAGCCAGUGAUGGUCUUUGGAUGUUCCUGAGAGGGUUAUCAUAGACACGAUGUUACUGAGGACGAGACGGACAAGGCCUUCUGGGUCACAGUGGAGGGGAAGGGAGCCUUGAUCAAGUGCUGGCAGUGUGCCACUGAGGGGUGUUUCUUCCAUCAUUGAGGCUGUAAUUGAUUUCUAAAUGUAUUCCAUGUCGAGGCCAGUGGGUUGUCCACGUCAAUCAAACUCUUCCUCAUCUUUCUGGUGUUUUCUGCUGCCAGCCGACCGGAAGACAGGAUCAAACACAGGAGGAGGAGAUCUCAGUGACUGGAGUCAGACGCUCUUUCAUCUCUGCUCUGCCAUGCCAGCACACACUCAUGCUUCAUUUUUCCCCACGCACAGAGUCUCCACAAAGAGAGCUCUCUGUGUGAACUCUCUCUGUGUCUCUCCUUUUCAAUUCUGCUUUAACUGAUUCAUCCUUGAUAGAAAUACAGAUCAAGAUAAACUUAGUUAUGCACUUCAUUUUUAUACGCAUCCCUUCUCCCUGAUGUGGGAAAGAGUAAAUGUGUGUUUAUUUCUUUUUUUCCUCUCAAGAGAUUUCAGAGCUCUUGCAGACUGUGAUUGCACAGUGCAAUGAAUAGCUUUGUCUAAAAUGACUAUUCCCUAUAUGAGGUAAUGAGGCUAGUAGUCGUUAUAUUUACAACAUAUAGCUUCAGCAGCAGUAUUUAUGAGAGUGUUAUGUCAACUGAAAUGGAAAGAUAUUAAUUAGAAAUUUAUCUUUUUCUAAGGGACAGUCAAUUUAUGCUUUUUACAUGAAACUCGAUUAGCUACAUACAACUUCUUUGGAUAAUAACCGCUUUCAAGGUCAGCUGAAAGAGAUCUAGUUUCUUUGUGUGUGUAUGUUCCAGUAGUGUUUGUCGUCCAUUGCUCUCCAUUUCACAGCCUUUCAGACCUGAAAAAGAGAAAAAAAAUGUGUGUUCAGCUUCCAUUCGUUCUGAAGCCCUCUGAAUGUCAGCUGACAUCUAUAUAGAUCUUCAACGUGUGGUUGGUCUUGCAGGAAAGCUGCUAAUUAUUUAUGCUUUAGGGAAGAGAGAGUAAAGAGAAAGUGAGAAAGAUUAAGACCAACAGAGUACAUAGACCCCUGGAUUAGUAAAGUAAAGUAGUAAAGUCUGAAGAACCAGGUCAGAGAAACCGAACUCCAGAGGUGGCCAACUUCACAGAUUCUUAUAAAAACCUGGAAUAUUCACUUUGAUGCUACUUACUAUGAUGCAUAUCAUUCAUUUACAUCAUGUAGAUUUACAUCAGACUAACGAGGCAAGUAAAGUCCUUGAUAUCAAAUUGCCUUGAGUAAAUUUAGUCUGAGCCACUAUUUCAGAUCUGCACACAUGCAGGAUUUAAUUAUGCUGAAUUAGCAGCCUAGAAGAAGAAGAAGAUGUGUAAAAUUUGAAUAUUCUCAUUAACAAAGAAAUAGGAAAAGCCUCUCUCAGCAAGAGAAACCUGGCAAGGGAAAUGAAAGAAUAAAUGAUAUAGAAGCGAGAGAGAACAUUUUUCUGACUAUGAGACGACAGCAUAGUGACACAGCUAUAUCUUACCUGUUCUGUUAAAUUUAUGUAUUCAUAUCUUGACAGGCUAGAGGAUAGGAGAGACUGGGGACUCUCAUUGCUAUCUCUUAAACACAAAUAUGACACAACUCUUUUUCCUAAAUGAAAUUCAAUAAGCCUACAGUGAAUCUGGCAGGAUGUUAAAGGUCCAGUGUGUAACAUUUAGGAGGAGCUAUUGGCAGAAAUGGAAUAUAAUAUUUAUAAGUCUGUUUUCUGUUUCUCCUACAUGCUUGGAAGGGGGGUGAUGUGAGCGGUAUUCAAAUGGUUGCAAACUGCAACAAUACUUGACUUCUGACCUGUAACUGUGCUCUGGGUUUGAAAAGAUGCUUCUUAAAGUUUCUUUUAGCAUUCAUUUCUGACAAUGACUUACCAUCAUGAAAAGAUUUAUUGGAAAAUGUAAACUAGAUGUCCCCAUGUUUUGUUUUGUGUCAUUAUUGUGCAUCCACAAUGAAGAAGAAAUCUUCAUUGUGCCAGGCCGUAGAUAGGUUUACUAAUAAUCCUUCUAUGAUGGGAAUUUUCUUCUGUCAUUCGAUAAUUCAUGAAUAAAUAUUUGAAUUGUUGUCCCUGUGUUUGAAUGAGAUGAAAGCCGGCUUGCUGUGGUUGGCUGAGUGACCUUGCAAUGUGUCUGUAGGCCUACAGUGCUGUAUAUGAGAGGCUGAUAUAGAGGCUAGCAGAUGAGAGAACUCCCUGGGGGUUUUCUUGCAGAUAAUUCUGAGAAGUAGUGGCUCUCAUGAUCAUUUGGACAGAAGCCUGAAUAUGAGCAGUACAGUGAGCCUCUACUUGUAGAUCUCCAACACUGACACCCCAUGACCCUAAAGCACACAAUAACCUUACUCUGAUAGAGGGAAAAGACAUGGGGGAAAGGGUGGAAAGCACGACAUAAAGAAGGGAAACUGUCAAAGAGACAGAUGGAGGUGGAGGAAAAAUAAUCUGUAGGAAUAAAUGAUUUGAUAAUAAAGCUCUGAUCCCUCAUAUAUUUUAUAAUUGGCUGAAAUCUUAAACAUCACAUUGAAAGAUUUCAGGCUUGUGAAUGCAAAAGCCCACUGAAUUAUUGUAAAUAGUCAGCAUUGAUAGAAAAUGUACGUGUUUGUGUGUGUGCAUGCGUGCACAUGCAGACGUGGCAACAAAAUAUCGUUCCGCAGUCCCAUUUCAUCCCAGUGAGUGGCCUCUCCUCUCUGCUCCCUGGUGUUCACAGAUGCCUGUCACGUCACCAUGAAAAGACAAGAGAGGGAGAGCCUGACACAGAUUCAUCCCCCCAGACUGAGAGACAGGCAGAUUGAGAGGUGUAGCUGAUCCCUGAGAAGCACUGCAGGUUUAAUAUCCCCUCUAUAUCCUCUCUUCAUGCCGUCUGGUGCCAUGAGGCUCUAGGCCGACGUCAGUGUUGUCUGUCCAUCUCUUGGUCAGGGAGGGGUCAUCAUCUCUAAUGCAUUAUUCACACGAGCAGCAUCAACCUAGACAGAUCCUAUCUCGGCAGGGCAAAGCCACUGUCACCCCUGGCUCAGUGGCUAAAUAAACACGAAAAGCAUACAAUAGCUGUAGCUUCACCCUUUUAUUAAUUAAUUAAUACUGCUGAGUGAAUAUGAGUUGCAUGGUGAUUUGUUUGUCCUGGCAUGUUAUUAUUUUGAAAAAUGUAUCUGUUCUUUGGUAAAACACGUGUUAAUGUAAUUUCUAAAUUUUGUAUUUACAUCACUUUUUUUGUGGCCUGGAGUGUAUGUUUUGGAUUGUACAGUCUCCAGUCAUAUAAUGGACAACAGUGAUGAAGAUUCCACAAUGGUUCUUCCUUGAGAAGGAAUUCUGAAAAAAAAGAAAGAACUUGUGGGAAUCACACACAGGCUCUUUAACACGCGUACCUUGAAUGGUCCUAAACAUAAUGUCGAGUUAUUCACCAGUGGAUUUCUGACUGAUGUUUUGAAUGUCAACAGGUGUCAUGCGGCACACACACAGAUUGUCAUUUCUACAGUGGAUCCAUGGGAAGUUGAGCCACACACACACACAAACACAUGUUUGUUUCACUGUCCCUGUGGAGGACAGUCAUUGACAUAAUGCUUUCCCUAGCCCCUUACCCUAACCUUAACCAUCACAA